CUGGAAAUUGAUGAGAAAACAGCUUCUGCAUAGUAGCUAAUGCUUAUGUCCAUGUAUGGUUCUUUUGUAGCGUAAUUGGACUCCCAGGAGAAGAAGACUGGCCUAGAGAUGUUGCCCUUCCCAGGCAGGCUUUUCAUUCAAAAUCUGCCCAACCAAUUGAGAAGUUUGUAACAGAUAUCGAUGAACUAGGCAAAGACCUACUUCUGAAGUGUUUGACAUUUAACCCAGCCAAAAGAAUAUCUGCCUACAGUGCCCUGUCUCACCCAUACUUCCAGGACCUGGAAAGGUGCAAAGAAAACCUGGAUUCCCACCUGCCGCCCAGCCAGAACACCUCGGAGCUGAAUACAGCCUGAGGCCUCAGCAGCUGCCUUAAGCUGAUCCUGCGGAGAACACUCUUGGUGGCUUAUGGGUCCCCCUGAGCAAGCCCUACAGAGCUGUGGAGGAUUGCUAUCUGGAGGCCUUCCAGCUGCUGUCUUCUGGACAGGCUCUGCUUCUCCAAGGAAACCGCCUAGUUUACUGUUUUGAAAUCAAUGCAAGAGUGAUUGCAGCUUUAUGUUCAUUUGUUUGUUUGUUUGUCUGUUUGUUUCAAGAACCUGGAAAAAUUCCAGAAGAAGAGAAGCUGCUGACCAAUUGUGCUGCCAUUUGAUUUUUCUAACCUUGAAUGCUGCCAGUGUGGAGUGGGUAAUCCAGGCACAGCUGAGUUAUGAUGUAAUCUCUCUGCAGCUGCCGGGCCUGAUUUGGUACUUUUGAGUGUGUGUGCGCCUGUGUGUGUGUGUG
rnacentral:sRNA from 1 species